AGUGAACGCUGGCGGUAGGCCUAACACAUGCAAGUCGAACGGCAGCACAGUAAGAGCUUGCUCUUACGGGUGGCGAGUGGCGGACGGGUGAGGCAUACAUCGGAAUCUACUUUUUCGUGGGGGAUAACGUAGGGAAACUUACGCUAAUACCGCAUACGACCUACGGGUGAAAGCAGGGGAUCUUCGGACCUUGCGCGAUUGAAUGAGCCGAUGUCGGAUUAGCUAGUUGGCGGGGUAAAGGCCCACCAAGGCGACGAUCCGUAGCUGGUCUGAGAGGAUGAUCAGCCACACUGGAACUGAGACACGGUCCAGACUCCUACGGGAGGCAGCAGUGGGGAAUAUUGGACAAUGGGCGCAAGCCUGGUCCAGCCAUACCGCGUGGGUGAAGAAGGCCUUCGGGUUGUAAAGCCCUUUUGUUGGGAAAGAAAAGAAGCAGGUUAAUACCCCGCUGUUCUGACGGUACCCAAAGAAUAAGCACCGGCUAACUUCGUG
rnacentral:rRNA from 1 species